CGGCCUAUAUAAGCCCUUCCCCGCGAAAGCACCACCCUUUCUCUUUUCCGCAGCGCCUGUGUGCUGGUCUGUCAGCCUGUAGCCCCUGCCUACUGCCUUGCGCACCUUUCCUCGCUUAGUCAUCGCGGCUACCGGCCCGCACUCGCCGGGGCUCUCUCCCAAGGCUGCGGGAUGGUGGUGAACCUGGCACGGAGGAGCCGGGCCUUCCCACCCUGUGGGCUUGAGCCAGAAGGCUUCCUUGGCCGUGAGAGGGGCCUGGGGCCGCUCCCUUCUCUCGCCCCUUUCCCCAACGCUGCACUCUGGGCUGACAGAGUGCCCGGCGUACUUCAGGUAGUAAUGAUGGACAGAUGAAGAGUCUGAGAUGACAGAAGUUUGAUUUUUCUGGUGAUCAAGGGCUCCCAGGGCCAUUAGAGUGAUGAAAUGCAACUAUUAAAGGACCUGGUAGGUUUCUUUUGGAGACUUACUUUGCAGGCUGCCUGGUGGGACAGAACAGCAUGUUUCCAAGGGCUGUGGCUGGUUGUAGCCAUGGGAUCUCCAACUGCAUGCAAGAGCAACCUGGAAAGACUUUGACAGCACAGGUUGCCCCAGGUUUCCUGGCAGUGUGAUACUGAGGAAAUCAGCUUGUUUCUGGAGCUGUGCUUUAAGAUGUUACACAUAAAGCUGUCCUCAUUUGUGACUGUGGACCCUUAUGGAGUUGGGAGAAUAUGAGAAGCAGAAGGCAAGACCCCAGUCAUUUUAGGUGGGAACAGCGGCAUGUUCUAGGUGGAGACUUCCGGUUUUUUUUAAAUGCAAAAAAUUAUGCAGUGUGCUACUGAUCAAUAAAAGACUCGAGUAUGUUUGUCA